UCUCUUGGAUAAGAAUUUUAAUUGGAUUUUAGCCGUUUUAGGGUUAAUUAGUAAUGUCUUGAAAUGUACUACGAUUGUAACGUUUGUUGGUAAUUAAGAUGCCGUGUGUUUUUGCAAGACUGUGUUUUUCUUUCCGUCAUGAUCGACGCUUACAACAAUGACAAAUGCCCAGACCAUGAGAAUCCUGACCAUGUGACCGGGCUUACCCCGUCAGACAUAAAUAUCCUUUGUUACAUUGUAACGGUAUUGUCCUUCGUAACAAUUACUUAAUACUUCAUCGCGCUACUCAUAGUAUACUCAACAAAACUCUCAAACUCAGCAAAAAAGUGUAGGUAUGUCUGACUUGGGAUCUGACGUAAUAACGAAACAGACUUUAUGUAACGUUUUGUCAUUUAAAACAAGUCACAUUUUAGAAAAUACCAUUAAACAGUACAAUGUACACUAUUUCAUCCAGUUGCUUGAAUCUAUACUUGCCACGGCGCGCUUCAAACCAAGACACAAAUAGUGCUUGCACACUACCCAUCAGUUACUCUGCAUCAUCUCAUACGAAGCAACUGGUGAAACACCAUCAAUUUUAAAUGGUCGGCCACGGUCUUGUAAUUCCUCUGCUGUUAUAAAAGAGUAUGAACCAUGAUGAACAAAUACCAUCAGGCAUCAGGUGGCCCGUAUGUCUGCUCGUUUAUCCUUC